CACGCAGUAAACGAUGAAUACUAGCCGUUCGCGAUAUACAGUGAGUGGCACAGCGAAAGCGUUAAGUAUUCCACCUGGGGAGUACGUUCGCAAGAAUGAAACUCAAAGGAAUUGACGGGGGCCCGCACAAGCGGAGGAACAUGUGGUUUAAUUCGAUGAUACGCGAGGAACCUUACCCGGGCUUGAAAUGCAUCUGACCGGCUUGGAAACAGGCCUUCUAGCAAUAGCAGAUGUGUAGGUGC
rnacentral:rRNA from 1 species